UCGCCAGACUCCUACGGGAGGCAGCAGUGGGGGAUAUUGCACAAUGGGGGGAACCCUGAUGCAGCGACGCCGCGUGAACGAAGAAAUAUUUCGGUAUGUAAAGUUCUAUCAGCAGGGAAGAAAAUGACAGUACCUGACCAAGAAGCCCCGGCUAACUACGUGCCAGCAGCCGCGGUAAUACGUAGGAUGCGAGCGUUAUCCGGAUUUAUUGGGUUUAAAGGGUGCGCAGGCGGCACGGCAAGCCGGCGGUCAAAUCGCGGGGCUCAACCCCGCCCAGCCGUCGGAACUGCCGGGCUAGAGUGGGCGAGAAGUGCGCGGAAUGCGUGGUGUAGUGGUGAAAUGCAUAGAUAUCACGCAGAACUCCGAUUGCGAAGGCAGCGCACCGGCGCCCUACUGACGCUCAGGCACGAAAGCGUGGGUAUCGAACAGGAUUAGAUACCCUGGUAG
rnacentral:rRNA from 1 species